rnacentral:rRNA from 1 species
CAGGGGGGAGCUAUAAUGCAGUCGAACGAGUUCUCGUUGAUGAUCGGUGCUUGCACCGAGAUUCAACAUGGAACGAGUGGCGGACGGGUGAGUAACACGUGGGUAACCUGCCCUUAAGUGGGGGAUAACAUUUGGAAACAGAUGCUAAUACCGCAUAGAUCCAAGAACCGCAUGGUUCUUGGCUGAAAGAUGGCGUAAGCUAUCGCUUUUGGAUGGACCCGCGGCGUAUUAGCUAGUUGGUGAGGUAAUGGCUCACCAAGGCGAUGAUACGUAGCCGAACUGAGAGGUUGAUCGGCCACAUUGGGACUGAGACACGGCCCAAACUCCUACGGGAGGCAGCAGUAGGGAAUCUUCCACAAUGGACGCAAGUCUGAUGGAGCAACGCCGCGUGAGUGAAGAAGGCUUUCGGGUCGUAAAACUCUGUUGUUGGAGAAGAAUGGUCGGCAGAGUAACUGUUGUCGGCGUGACGGUAUCCAACCAGAAAGCCACGGCUAACUACGUGCCAGCAGCCGCGGUAAUACGUAGGUGGCAAGCGUUAUCCGGAUUUAUUGGGCGUAAAGCGAGCGCAGGCGGUUUUUUAAGUCUGAUGUGAAAGCCCUC